CAGUAGCCGCGGGAACACGAAGGGGGCUAGCGUUGCUCGGAAUGACUGGGCGUAAAGGGCGCGUAGGCGGUUGUUACAGUCAGAUGUGAAAUUCCUGGGCUCAACCUGGGGACUGCAUUUGAUACGUGACGACUUGAGUGGAGGAGAGGGUCGUGGAAUUUCCAGUGUAGAGGUGAAAUUCGUAGAUAUUGGAAAGAACACCGGUGGCGAAGGCGGCGACCUGGCCCUUAACUGACGCUGAGGCGCGAAAGCGUGGGAGCAAGCAGGAUUAGAUACCCCAGUAGUCCCUGUCUCUUAUACC
rnacentral:rRNA from 1 species